rnacentral:sRNA from 1 species
UGCCACGAGAGGCCCUAUACCUAACAUAC